rnacentral:lncRNA from 1 species
GUAGGAGAACAAUUUAAAGAUAGAAGCCCUUUAAAUGUAAGAAGGAAAGAGAUUUUGUUUAGUUGAUAAAUGAAGAAAUGGAGGUAGUUUGGAAGGUUUAAUAUAUGUAGCUAUAUGGAGAGAGACUUUUGUAAUUCUUCAAUUUUUAUUAUACAAGGGAUCACUUUGGUACACACUUGGGCUCACACUUUACUUCACUCCUCUUUGUACAUCCUACAAAUGAGGAGGUCUUCCCCUAUUUAUAGGCAUCAA